rnacentral:lncRNA from 1 species
CUCUUGGAAAGCAGCACUGUGAUUCAGCUGUCACUCAGCUCCCAGCAAAGGGAGCUUUGAAAAGGCGCCUCUGCUGCUCUCCUGGAGUAGCAAAUAUUUCCUAGGCCUCUGCUGCUGAAUGGGAGAGAUUGCCAUUGUCCUCCGUCCCCUCUCAGGCUUGCUGGGCUUGCUAUAAAUGGGCCUUUUGCAAGGGAACAAUAAGCUCAGCGAAGGGUCCAGGUUGCACAUGUCUGAGCAGUGAGAACACUCGAGCACUUUUUCAUUGGCUCCCGAGAUGUGAAAAGCUGGGCAGCGAGAGCAGGUUUAUUUUCCAGCCACAGCUGUGGGUUUGUUUUCUCUCUCAGGUUGUGCUGCUCUGGGUGUACAUCUGCGCGUUUCAGCUCAUUUCCUAGAAAAUGUCUUCACCUCAGCGUUUCCUUUGGCCUCAGAAAUCCGUUUCCUCCUUAGUUAGAGCCGUGUGAUGUGUUUGCAGCAGAACCGCAGCCAGGUGGGACCGCCUGCUUUCACAUCUCUGCUGUGACAAACUUGGGCUCGGCUUUGGUAGAGUAGCCCCAAACUCACAUCGCUUUGUGGCUUUGUGGAAAACCACAUGCAGCUCUCUGAUUCAAACCCGACUGCAAAGCCAUGCAUGGGCUGAGGCUCACAGUGAUUCUGGGGUUAAUUCGGGUUGAAGAUGGUGUUCCUCAGCAAUCAGUAUGGAGGAAAAAGAUAUUCUGUGGUCUGAUUGUCCUCCUGUGCUGGUGUUUCUCUGCUGCAAUUUAUGUCGGAGCUUUUCCUGCGUUAGGCCUGAGUGAAGGGUGAACCAACCGCAGCCGGGCUGCAGCUCCAGGAGCUCUGUGCUGUGGCUCGUCCUCCAAAUGCCAGUGAGGAAAAUCUCUUUGGAAGUUUCUGCCUUGCUCAUCCCAUUUACUGAAACCAAAUUUCAAGAAGCUAAUCGGGCAGAGAGUGCAAAGGAUGAAACAUUAGAAAUCAAAUUAAUGAAGCUGAAUCACCAAUUUGUGACCUAGAAGACUAUUAGGGGUGGUCAGAAUUAAUUAAGUCCUCUUUGCAAUGCUUCAGAGGGAGGCAGCUAGCCAGGCGUGGGGACCCGAAGGACACCGAUGGGAUCUGACUACCUGGAGCUGCACAGAAAUGCAGCGUGCUGCUCAUGGGCCCCAGAUGAACUCCAGGGGUGACUGGGAAGCACGGUGAGGAGGAGCAGAACGGAGAGCUGCCAUCAUCCCUUCCUGCGUCCUGCUGCUUCGUGCUUAUCCAGGGGCACGCAGAGAAGCUGUGAUAGGGCUGUCCGUGCCAUCUAGCACAAGAGAAGCUGCACAGCUCCUGGUGGGCAGAGUGGACGUGCUGUAUUGUGGCUCGGCAGCCUGGAGCUGGGUGCCAGCAUCAGCGGUGGGACGGGGACAUCAGCACACAGCAGAGCAGCCUCCCGUGGUCCCAGAGGGCUGGCAGCCACCAGCAGAGGUACAGGAACGGUGACACAGUGCCCUGCUGAUAGGCUGCUGAUUUAAUCAAAACUAGGACUGAGCCCUGAACUCUUCCAGGGAAAGACGAUCCACGGACCAUUCUGUGGCUUCUUUCCUUUCAAAGGUGGGGGUUUUAGACAGUUCUGGCUGAUCAUUGCCAAAAUAAAUUGGUCGUUUGCAGUACUCAGUGAUGUGAAAUCAGUUUAUCAAUUGAAGUGAACGUGAGAGGCAAUACCCAACUGAGUAAUUCUGGAGAAUUUUAAAGAUGAGUGUUUUCCUCACUGAUCUUUUUGGGGCAAAUAUGGAAGGAAGAAGAUAUCACUUUUUUUUUUUUUUCACUAACCGGAACUGCGCUGUUUCUUCUUGAGUUGACAAACUCCUUUGUGUGCUAAGCAGCCCAUGGGAGAAAGAGUGGAAGGGAAGAUCGGUGCAGACAUGGCUCCAGGUCGUUGAAUAAUGCAUUGUUCAGUAAAUUGACUGUCCGACCUGGAAAUAGUGCACUGCGUGUGAUCAACAUCGACACUGCUGGCUGGACAGCUUACAAAGAAGCAUUUUGGAAUUAAUUUGAUGAUUAUGAAAAUGUCUUAGAUCCUUUGCUGAAGGCUAACUAAACACA